GCCGUGAAUAUAAUGUUACGCGCAUGCGCGGUGGUGUGUUGUUAUUGGUGAACAAUCGCACGUGCUUUGGUAUUUCAAGAAGAAUCUGCCGAAAAACGAUGGAUUAUUUAACAACAGUGAUUGUAUAAAGAUUUGACUGGAUUUGGCAAGAUGCCCUUGCUCAUUAAAGAAGAUGGAGAUGUGGCUUUCCUCAGACUGUCUCUGACAUGCCAGCUUUUUCACCAUGUUGUUAGUGAAGCAUCUUUCAAGGAAAAGGCUCAUGUUGUCUGGCUUGACAGUGUUGUCAACUGGAACACAUUCUCCAUGGUGUAGAGAUUUAUUUACAGACUGUCCACCUGGUCGAGUUGGAGGAAGGGUGUCCCAGGGAGGAAUUGUUCAUCUAUUCUGCAUCAGUAAAGCAGUGGUGGCGUGGCACUGACCUUAAACUAUUUAAGAUCAAACUGUGACAAAAGCUUUACCUGACCUGACUGCAGUCAGUUAUAUGUGACCUUGCCCGUGAAAAAACAGGAUAAGUCUUGAAAUGUAAUUAUGAUAUAUUGAGCAUCAAAGUGUUAUUUUCAUUAAUCUCACAUUGAUUUUGAUAUUUGACAUGAUUUUACUCAGUCAACCCCACACACCCAGACAACACUUUCUUUGAACUUUUGCCCUUUGGCGCUACAGAGCACUGAAUACUAGACACAACAACCGUUUGUUCCUCAGGCUAAAACCUAAACAAUAAAAGCACCCAUAACUUCCACACCUGUAACUGUAUAUUGUUUAUAAUCACCACAUACUGUACAUCUGUAAAUACUAUUCUAAACUGUAAAUAUCACCUAUUAUCUAUCUGUACAAUAACAGCAUCUUAACAUCCAUACAUGCAUCACUACACACAAUUGUAAAAAAGGAGAAAAUUUAUACAUAUACUUACUGUACCAUACUGCUUAUUUAAAUAAUUUUUGUUUUUAUGUGACUAGUGUGUUAUUGUCUUUAAUUUUACUUAGUUAUUCUAUGUAUGUCCGUAACAUGUCACCAAGAGAAAUUCCUUGUAUGUGACAAAAACAUACUUGGCAAUAAAGCAGAUUCUGAUUCAAUAUUAAAGAUAUCAAGGUUAUAUUUUUACAGAAUGUUGUUUACAUUAUGUAGGAUGAGUUAAUGUAGAAACUAGUAAAUCACAGAAAGAUGACUAUAGCUGGGUUUUCACUAAGUUCAUGUUUAGGCCUAAUGUUUAUUGUUAAAAAUUUUUGAUAUUUGCAGUCACCGAUCAUCAGUGAAUUGAAUAAGCUGUGGGGUAAAAGUUAAAUAAAUAAACAACUUAAAUUAAUGACAAGUUAUUUUUGUUUCGAUUUAACAGUAAAUAACUUGAAUAUGAAUAUAUAUUUAUAUAUAUAAAUUUUAAUAACUCCAAUACAACACUCAAAUAAAUUAUUAAUUAAAACGUUGCAUAUCAUUGCUAAUAUACCUUAUCUUGUUUAAAGAUGAUUGUUUAAUACCGGCUGUGUACGCCACAUGUUAAGAUAAUACAUUACACAAUGCUAAAAAUGUAAUAUGAGUUUACAGUAGCCUACUCAUCCAAUACGAUCAGCUUUUAGGGAUGAAUUAUGUGAUAAUAACUGCACUGGACACGCGAAAACAUGUUAUUAUUUUGCACGUGGGUAUCCACGUAAACUUAUGACUUCUUAACUAAGCUAGGAUCACAGCAAAUACGUUUAUCGGCAUUAUCACGGCGAAUGUGUUAAUGUUUGUGUUCAAAUACACACAACCGAGCAUGUGUAUUACAGCAUCCACUACGUAGUACGUACUGGAUUUGGAUUUAUAUUUACUGCGCAUGCGUGUUUGAACAUCCACUACGUACUGGAUUAAUCCACUACGUCAUCGCGCUGCAAGCUGCAGCGAGGAC